rnacentral:rRNA from 1 species
CAGCAGCCGCGGUAAUACGAAGGGUGCAAGCGUUACUCGGAAUUACUGGGCGUAAAGCGUGCGUAGGUGGUGGUUUAAGUCCGUUGUGAAAGCCCUGGGCUCAACCUGGGAAUUGCAGUGGAUACUGGGUCACUAGAGUGUGGUAGAGGAUAGUGGAAUUUCCGGUGUAGCAGUGAAAUGCGUAGAGAUCGGAAGGAACAUCUGUGGCGAAGGCGACUAUCUGGGCCAACACUGACACUGAGGCACGAAAGCGUGGGGAGCAAACAGGAUUAAAUACCCCCGUAGUCCCUGUCUCUUAUAC